CAAAGGAAUUGACGGGGACCCGCACAAGCAGCGGAGCGUGUGGUUUAAUUCGUUGCUACACGAAGAACCUUACCUGGGUUUGACAUAUAGGUUGUAGGGAACUGAAAAGGGACCGACCCUUCGGGGAGCCUAUACAGGUGUUGCAUGGCUGUCGUCAGCUCGUGUCGUGAGAUGUUCGGUUAAGUCCGCUAACGAGCGCAACCCUCGUCGUAUGUUAUAUGUGUCAUACGAGACUGCCGGUAAAAAGCCGGAGGAAGGUGAGGAUGAUGUCAAGUCAGCAUGACCUUUAUAUCCAGGGCUACACACACGCUACAAUGGUCUGUACAAUGGGUAGCCAAGCCGCGAGGCGGAGCCAAUCCUGAAAGCAGGCCUCAGUUCAGAUUGCAGUCUGCAACUCGACUGCAUGAAGCCGGAGUUGCUAGUAACCGCAGGUCAGCAAUACUGCGGUGAAUACGUUCCCGGAUCUU
rnacentral:rRNA from 1 species